rnacentral:rRNA from 1 species
UACGUAGGUGGCAAGCGUUGUCCGGAAUUAUUGGGCGUAAAGGGCGUGUAGGUGGAUUUUUAAGUCUUGUGUCUAAGUGCGGUGCUCAACGCCGUAUGGGCGCAGGAAACUGGAGAUCUUGAGUGCAGGAGAGGAAAGUGGAAUUCCCAGUGUAGCGGUGAAAUGCGUAGAUAUUGGGAGGAACACCAGUGGCGAAGGCGACUUUCUGGACUGUGUCUGGCACUGAGGCGCGAAAGCCAGGGGAGCGAAC